AUUGAACGCUGGCGGCAGGCCUAACACAUGCAAGUCGAGCGGAUGAAGGGAGCUUGCUCCUGGAUUCAGCGGCGGACGGGUGAGUAAUGCCUAGGAAUCUGCCUGGUAGUGGGGGAUAACGUCCGGAAACGGGCGCUAAUACCGCAUACGUCCUGAGGGAGAAAGUGGGGGAUCUUCGGACCUCACGCUAUCAGAUGAGCCUAGGUCGGAUUAGCUAGUUGGUGGGGUAAAGGCCUACCAAGGCGACGAUCCGUAACUGGUCUGAGAGGAUGAUCAGUCACACUGGAACAGAGACACGGUCCAGACACCUACGGGAGGCAGCAGUGGGGAAUAUUGGACAAUGGGCGAAAGCCUGAUCUAGCCAUGCCGCGUGUGUGAAGAAGGUCUUCUGAUUGUAAAGCACUUUAAGUUGGGAGAAAGGGCAGUAAGUUAAUACCUUGCUGUUUUGACGUUACCAACAGAAUAAGCACCGGCUAACUUCGU
rnacentral:rRNA from 1 species